rnacentral:rRNA from 1 species
GAUGAACGCUAGCGGGAGGCCUAACACAUGCAAGCCGAGCGGUAUUGUUUCUUCGGAAAUGAGAGAGCGGCGUACGGGUGCGGAACACGUGUGCAACCUGCCUUUAUCUGGGGGAUAGCCUUUCGAAAGGAAGAUUAAUACUCCAUAACAUAUUGAUUGGCAUCAAUUAAUAUUGAAAGCUCCGGCGGAUAGAGAUGGGCACGCGCAAGAUUAGCUAGUUGGUGAGGUAACGGCUCACCAAGGCGAUGAUCUUUAGGGGGCCUGAGAGGGUGAUCCCCCACACUGGUACUGAGACACGGACCAGACUCCUACGGGAGGCAGCAGCGAGGAAUAUUGGUCAAUGGGUGCAAGCCUGAACCAGCCAUCCCGCGUGAAGGACGACUGCCCUAUGGGUUGUAAACUUCUUUUGUAUAGGGAUAAACCUACCCUCGUGAGGGUAGCUGAAGGUACUAUACGAAUAAGCACCGGCUAACUCCGUGCCAGCAGCCGCGGUAAUACGGAGGGUGCAAGCGUUAUCCGGAUUUAUUGGGUUUAAAGGGUCCGUAGGCGGACUUAUAAGUCAGUGGUGAAAGCCUGUCGCUUAACGAUAGAACUGCCAUUGAUACUGUAAGUCUUGAGUAUAUUUGAGGUAGCUGGAAUAAGUAGUGUAGCGGUGAAAUGCAUAGAUAUUACUUAGAACACCAAUUGCGAAGGCAGGUUACUAAGAUAUAACUGACGCUGAGGGACAAAAGCGUGGGGAGCGAACAGGAUUAGAUACCCUGGUAGUCCACGCCGUAAACGAUGCUAACUCGUUUUUGGGCUUUAGGGUUCAGAGACCAAGCGAAAGUGAUAAGUUAGCCACCUGGGGAGUACGCUCGCAAGAGUGAAACUCAAAGGAAUUGACGGGGGCCCGCACAAGCGGUGGAUUAUGUGGUUUAAUUCGAUGAUACGCGAGGAACCUUACCAAGACUUAAAUGGGAAUUGACAGCUUUAGAAAUAGAGCUUUCUUCGGACAAUUUUCAAGGUGCUGCAUGGUUGUCGUCAGCUCGUGCCGUGAGGUGUUAGGUUAAGUCCUGCAACGAGCGCAACCCCUGUCACUAGUUGCCAUCAUUCAGUUGGGGACUCUAGUGAGACUGCCUACGCAAGUAGAGAGGAAGGUGGGGAUGACGUCAAAUCAUCACGGCCCUUACGUCUUGGGCCACACACGUAAUACAAUGGCCGGUACAGAGGGCAGCUACACAGCGAUGUGAUGCAAAUCUCGAAAGCCGGUCUCAGUUCGGAUUGGAGUCUGCAACUCGACUCUAUGAAGCUGGAAUCGCUAGUAAUCGCGCAUCAGCCAUGGCGCGGUGAAUACGUUCCCGGGCCU